rnacentral:misc_RNA from 1 species
AAGUCGUAACAAGGUUUCCGUAGGUGAACCUGCGGAAGGAUCAUUAACACGUAUCCAACGUUAAACCCCCCGUGAACCUUCAGUGCGCUCGCACUUUCUUAGAAAAGGUAGCAAUCCCUGGUAAAUCAUUGCCGAACAGUUUUGAUUCAGGGACUUCUGCGUAGACUGUGCUUGAGCGUGAGGCAAGUGGCCUGUACGAAUGGCGCAGUCACGAUCGCUAGAGGCCGACACGGCCGGCGACCGGGUCACUGGGCGCGAGCCCCCCUCGUCACCUUUGCAUGAAAACGGGCCUGCGCUUAAUUGUGCGGCCACCAAACUCGAACAACUGUUAACAAUGGAUAUCUUGGUUCUC